UUAAAAAGCGUUAAAGCUUAAUCUUUCCCCAUUUUUAAUUUCAUAAAACUAAAUGACCCCUUACUUAAUAUUGAAUGACUUCAUAACUUUAUGAAAAUCAUCAUGCUGGAACUAGUAACAAGAACUUAACAUUCUCCAAAAUGUAAACAUAAACUAAAAUGGACUAUCCACUAGUAAUUAACGUAAAUGAAACUAAUACACCAACAACCUAAGAAAAACCUGUAUAUCCACCACGUUAACCUGACACAAGAACACUUAUGGAAAGAUUUAAAGAAAAAGAAGGAACUCGGCAAACUUUAACCCCGCCUGUUUACCAAAAACAUCGCCUCUUGAUAAAGUAUAAGAGGUCCAGCCUGCCCAGUGAAAAUUCAACGGCCGCGGUACACUGACCGUGCAAAGGUAGCAUAAUCAUUCGCCCCUUAAUUAGGGGCCUGUAUCAACGGCAUCUCGAGGGUUAUUCUGUCUCCUUUUUCUAAUCAGUGAAACUGAUCUACCCGUGAAAAAGCGGGUAUUUAACUAUAAGACGAGAAGACCCCAUGGAGCUUCAAACCAAAAGCAAAUUAAACUUAUACACCACUAUAACCUCUAUAUGAUGCAUAUCGGUUUUAGGUUGGGGCAACCGCGGAGAAAAAUUUAACCUCCACAACGAAAAGACCUUAGUCUUUAUCCCAGAGCAACCACUCUAAGAACUAGGAUACUAACGGAUAAUGAUCCAAUUCUUUGUAAUUGAUCAACGGACCAAGUUACCCUGGGGAUAACAGCGCAAUCUACUUUGAGAGUUCUUAUUGACAAGUGGGUUUACGACCUCGAUGUUGGAUCAGGGUAUCCUAGUGGUGCAGCCGCUACUAAAGGUUCGUUUGUUCAACGAUUAAAACC
rnacentral:rRNA from 1 species